rnacentral:tRNA from 1 species
AGCCUUAUAGUUGAAUUUAAAACGACGAAUUGCAAAUUCUUUAGUGGAGGUAGUUAAAUCCUUCUAAGGUUU